AACGAACGCUGGCGGCAUGCCUAACACAUGCAAGUCGAACGAGACCUUCGGGUCUAGUGGCGCACGGGUGCGUAACGCGUGGGAAUCUGCCCUUAGGUACGGAAUAACAGUGAGAAAUUACUGCUAAUACCGUAUGAUGUCGAGAGACCAAAGAUUUAUCGCCUAGGGAUGAGCCCGCGUAGGAUUAGCUAGUUGGUGGGGUAAAGGCCUACCAAGGCUACGAUCCUUAGCUGGUCUGAGAGGAUGAUCAGCCACACUGGGACUGAGACACGGCCCAGACUCCUACGGGAGGCAGCAGUGGGGAAUAUUGGACAAUGGGCGAAAGCCUGAUCCAGCAAUGCCGCGUGAGUGAAGAAGGCCUUCGGGUUGUAAAGCUCUUUUACCCGGGAAGAUAAUGACUGUACCGGGAGAAUAAGCUCCGGCUAACUCCGUGCCAGCAGCCGCGGUAANGGGGAGGGAGCUAGCGUUGUUCGGAAUUACUGGGCGUAAAGCGUACGUAGGCGGCUUUGUAAGUCAGAGGUGAAAGCCCACGACUCAAUCGUGGAACUGCCUUUGAGACUGCUUCGCUUGAAGAUGGGAGANGUUAGUGGGAUUCCGAGUGUAGAGGUGAAAUUCGKAGAUAUUCGGAAGAACACCAGUGGCGAAGGCGGCUAACUGGACCAUUCUUGAC
rnacentral:rRNA from 1 species